rnacentral:rRNA from 1 species
GAUGAACGCUCGCGAUAGGCUUAACACAUGCAAGUCGAGGGGCAGCAUGGUCUUAGCUUGCUAAGACUGAUGGCGACCGGCGCACGGGUGCGUAACGCGUAUGCAACUUGCCUCACAGAGGGGGAUAACCCGUCGAAAGACGGACUAAUACCGCGUACACUUGGGAUAGGGCAUCCUGACCCAAGGAAAUGAAAUUCGCUGUGAGAUAGGCAUGCGUCCCAUUAGCUAGUUGGUGAGGUAACGGCUCACCAAGGCGACGAUGGGUAGGGGAACUGAGAGGUUGAACCCCCACACUGGUACUGAGACACGGACCAGACUCCUACGGGAGGCAGCAGUGAGGAAUAUUGGUCAAUGGGCGAGAGCCUGAACCAGCCAAGUCGCGUGAAGGAUGACUGUCUUAUGGAUUGUAAACUUCUUUUAUACGGGAAUAACAAGAGUCACGUGUGGCUCCCUGCAUGUACCGUAUGAAUAAGCAUCGGCUAACUCCGUG